UAGGGAAUUUUGCGCAAUGGGGGAAACCCUGACGCAGCAACACCGCGUGAAUGUUAAGCCCUUCGGGGUGUAAAGUUCUGUCAGUAGGGACGAAUUUUGACUGUACCUACAAAGGAAGCACCGGCUAACUCCGUGCCAGCAGCCGCGGUAAUACGGGGGGUGCAAGCGUUGUCCGGAAUCAUUGGGCGUAAAGCGUUCGUAGGCGGUAUAUCAAGUCUGGUGUUAAAGCCCGGGGCUCAACUCCGGUUCAGCAUCGGAUACUGGUAAACUAGAAUGCGGUAGAGGUAAGCGGAAUUCGUGGUGUAGCGGUGAAAUGCUUAGAUAUCACGAAGAACUCCAAUUGCGAAGGCAGCUUGCUGGACUGUAACUGACGCUGAGGCUCGAAAGUGUGGGUAUCAAACA
rnacentral:rRNA from 1 species